UACGUAGGCGGAAAAUUAAGUCAGUAGUGAAAUCCUGCAGCUUAACUGUAGAACUGUUAUCGAUACUGGUUUUCUUGAAUAUAGUUGAAGUAGGCGGAAUGUGUAAUGUAGCGGUGAAAUGCUUAGAUAUUACACAGAACACCGAUUGCGAAGGCAGCUUACUAAGCUAUGAUUGACGCUGAGGUACGAAAGCGUGGGGAGCGAACAGGAUUAGAUACCCUGGUAGUCC
rnacentral:rRNA from 1 species